rnacentral:lncRNA from 1 species
UUUUCAGAGCUAAACUUGAAGUGACUUUCUCUACAAUAUUAGUCAUUGUUGAACUAAAUUGUUUCCAUAGUUUUCCAGUUUCUUCCUUUUGGCUUUUUAUAAUCUCCUCCAUAUGUUUAUUGGCCAAUUCUACUUAAAUCCUGAAAUUAUCAGUCAAAAAAUGAGUAUUAGUAUCAAAAAUAUCCACUAAAGAUAAAAAUUCAUUCUUCCCUUCCACAAUAGGUCCUGUUAGAGUGUGUAGGACCUCGCGAUAAUGAUUCUCUUCAUGAGAAACAAGAUCGCAUUCUUCAUAUGUAUCAUAAUAUGGAUCAUAGUAUAUGGGGGUAAAACCUAAAUCAUAAGGAAGAUUCAAAUUAUGAUAUGCUGUCACAUGCACAAAUUUCAAAUCUUAAGACCUAGCAAUAUAAUUAUUUUUUAAAAUACAUUCUUUAGGAUGC